GGAUAACUACCCUUUAGGACUGGGAUAACCUUGGGAAACUGAGGCUAAUACCGGAUAGGCAAUUUUUCCUGUAAUGGUUUUUUGUUUAAAUGUUUUUUCGCCUAAGGAUGGGUCUGCGGCCGAUUAGGUAGUUGGUUAGGUAAUGGCUUACCAAGCCGUUGAUCGGCACGGGUUGUGAGAGCAAGAGCCCGGAGAUGGAACCUGAGACAAGGUUCCAGGCCCUACGGGGUGCAGCAGGCGCGAAACCUCCGCAAUGUGAGAAAUCGCGACGGGGGGAUCCCAAGUGCCAUUCUUAACGGGAUGGCUUUUCAUUAGUGUAAAGAGCUUUUGGAAUAAGAGCUGGGCAAGACCGGUGCCAGCCGCCGCGGUAACACCGGCAGCUCUAGUGGUAGCAAUUUUUAUUGGGCCUAAAGCGUCCGUAGCCGGUUUAAUAAGUCUCUGGUGAAAUCCUGUAGCUUAACUGUGGGAAUUGCUGGAGAUACUAUUAGACUUGAGACCGGGAGAGGUUAGAGGUACUCCCAGGGUAGAGGUGAAAUUCUGUAAUCCUGGGAGGACCGCCUGUUGCGAAGGCGUCUAACUGGAACGGUUCUGACGGUGAGGGACGAAAGUUAGGGGCGCGAACCGGAUUAGAUACCCGGGUAGUCCUAACUGUAAACGAUGCGGACUUGGUGUUGGGGUGGCUUUGAGCUGCUUCAGUGCCGAAGGGAAGCUGUUAAGUCCGCCGCCUGGGAAGUACGGUCGCAAGACUGAAACUUAA
rnacentral:rRNA from 1 species